AGGUAAACCUAGGGUAUUCGUUGGUUUCAAAGUCUGAACAAGAAUGAUAUUGGCGCAAGCGCAUUCUCUAUAAUCGUAGAGGUUCUCAACAUUGGCUCGACUAACCGUUGCUAUAACCAAAAUAACGUACAUAGCUACGACACUGCCAAGCAUACAUGCUGAUGAUCCCGUCCAUGAAGCCUAGAAGGAUAAGGGGGACAUGGGAAUUGGUGGGGAUUCAUGAAAAUGACGACGUAUCGACCCUUAAAUAACGGACCAAAUUCUCGAACGUUAUACGACUCAACUCGCACGUACCGUCGCGGAAGCCUUCAAUUGAGAGUCUCUGGUUUAGAGGUCAGUCAAGGGCACCUUUCGUGAUAUUCGUCGAAUUUACUAACGAAAUUUUUCGAUGUAAGGUUGACGUACCCUCACACACACAUUAUGAAACGUAUUGCUUUUCGUUGAAACGUCUUUAUCAUUACGCGAUACAGUUCAUUGAUAAGAUGUAUUCAUGAGAUGUCAUUUCAUGAUGACGUAGUCAUGAUCUGACGUUCAAGACGUUCGAUUGAAUUGAUAAGCAGUCACAUGUAAUUGAAAUUUGCAUGAUGCAACUGAAGAUUGAAUAUUGAAAAGAAUUCUGAUAUUCGUUUCCACACAGGUUCUAAUUCUCCUAACGAAGCUUGAGAGCAGAGUUUCGCUCUUUCUAAAAAUGCUGCUUGAGCAUCUUGCACUUUAUCUGGAUUUCCUUUCCACGUUUUCAAUGCUGCAUUCUUUGAAAAGAUAUUUGAAGAUACUUGUAAAGCACGUCCGUAGCAAAACGUAAGAGGCCAAGGCUUUCUCCCUUCGUAAGCGUUAAUAGCGUUUAAAUUUAAAACAGCAUCUUCAUCCGAUUGUCCUCCGCUUAGAAAUAUAACCGCUGGUACUGCUGGCGGCACUGUCCUCUGUAAAGCUGCUAACGUAUGUUCGGCAAUAAUCUGUACAUAUGUUUUAAUAAUUUGUAAUUAAAAAAUACCAAAUUUUUUUAUGCUAAUAAAAUAUUUAGUAUAAUUAUUUUUAUGCUAAUAGAAUAUCGUGUUGGGUAUUGCAGAAUUCAGUAGAAAUUCGAACUAAAAUAUGUAAUUAACAAUCGCGUAUAAAAUUAUACGAUACGAAACUUUAUAUAACAAUUGGAAUUGUUGAACAGAUAUCGUGUAAGUAAAGUAGAUAUUGUACCUGCGGUGAACAAUUGGAAGAAUUUUUUAUUCCCGACAGAACCAUCGCUACCUUUAGGAUCAUACCUUCAAGGUAGAUACGAUGCUCUUGUAAAAUACGAAACAAAAUAGAUAGUACUUCUUCGUGAACUUCUAACGCUCUAUUUAUUCCAUGGGUACAGUUUAAUAUUUCGGGUUCUAUUAUAGGUACCAUUCGUGCACUCUGACAUAUACUGGCAUAUCUGCGAAAAAUGAAUUGUCUAGUUAUAUUAUAUGAAUAUAUAUUUGAAGUACAUAGGAGUUUUGUCAGUAAAAUCUAUUGAUAUACAAACAAAUUUAUUUACAAUUUAUUGAUAUAUUUCAAACAAAAGUUAAUCUGUUUUGAAUCUGAUUCUUUAUAGAAAUAAGCGAUUUUAAAGCAUUGGAAUUUGUAGCUGAUUCAAAACAGAUUAACUUUUGUUUGAAAUACUUUUGUUAUUAGUUACAUUGUUAUGGUAUUAUUAUUUAUAAAAUAUUAUUUUGUUAAAAGUCACUUUGACUUUUUUAAAUGACGUGAUGUAUGUUUGAUUUCAUGACAUUGAAGCUGAUGCCAAGACAAGUUUGACGACCUAUAAUAGAAUGAUCUUCAGACGACCUUGAGUUCAGAAAUCUUGAAUUUACUAAUUCAUGGGAAUCGAUCAGACGUUUGCAAUAAUGUUUGUGUUAUCAAUAAAUUGCAAAAAAUUACCAAAGUACUUUUCAUUCAACAGAGGAUAAAUGUUAUUUUAACUUUUCUAUCCGUAUAUUUGUGCUUAUAAUAAAUGUUCAAAUUGUAUGCUACUUUCCGCGAUAUAAGGUUUCACUCUUUUCAGUAAAUUUUAAAUAAAUUAAUCAAAACGGAUUAACUUUUGUUUGAAAUAAAAAAUCCUGCACACCAUUUUACUGAAUACCCUGUAGAUUCGAAUGUA